AGAGCGAACGCUGGCGGCAGGCCUAACACAUGCAAGUCGAACGGACCCUUCGGGGUUAGUGGCGGACGGGUGAGUAACACGUGGGAACGUGCCUUUAGGUUCGGAAUAGCUCCUGGAAACGGGUGGUAAUGCCGAAUGUGCCCUUCGGGGGAAAGAUUUAUCGCCUUUAGAGCGGCCCGCGUCUGAUUAGCUUGUUGGUGAGGUAAUGGCUCACCAAGGCUACGAUCAGUAGCUGGUCUGAGAGGAUGACCAGCCACAUUGGGACUGAGACACGGCCCAAACUCCUACGGGAGGCAGCAGUGGGGAAUCUUGCGCAAUGGGCGAAAGCCUGACGCAGCCAUGCCGCGUGUAUGAUGAAGGUCUUAGGAUUGUAAAAUACUUUCAACCGGUGAAAGAUAAUGACUGUAGCCGGAGAAGAAGCCCCGGACUAACUUCGUGCCAGCAGCCGAC
rnacentral:rRNA from 1 species